rnacentral:rRNA from 1 species
GACGAACGCUGGCGGCGUGCCUAAUACAUGCAAGUAGAACGCACAGUUUAUACCGUAGCUUGCUACACCAUAGACUGUGAGUUGCGAACGGGUGAGUAACGCGUAGGUAACCUGCCUGGUAGCGGGGGAUAACUAUUGGAAACGAUAGCUAAUACCGCAUAAUAUUAAUUAUUGCAUGAUAAUUAAUUGAAAGGUGCAAUUGCACCACUACCAGAUGGACCUGCGUUGUAUUAGCUAGUAGGUGAGGUAACGGCUCACCUAGGCGACGAUACAUAGCCGACCUGAGAGGGUGAUCGGCCACACUGGGACUGAGACACGGCCCAGACUCCUACGGGAGGCAGCAGUAGGGAAUCUUCGGCAAUGGACGAAAGUCUGACCGAGCAACGCCGCGUGAGUGAAGAAGGUUUUCGGAUCGUAAAGCUCUGUGUAAGAGAAGAACGGGUGUGAGAGUGGAAAGUUCACACUGUGACGGUAUCUUACCAGAAAGGGACGGCUAACUACGUG